rnacentral:rRNA from 1 species
UUGUCUUUAUGCAAGCUUCUGCAGGUCCCUUUCAGCCUUGAAGAUCCAGAUUACAAGGAGCUUGAGCUGGAUGUGAUGUCUCCAUGUGAGAAGCAUGGCAUGGCAUCUGAGAGGCUUGUUGCCUUUGAAGGAACAGACACAGGCAGGCGGUUUUAAGCAUAUGGCAUUAGAGCAGGUAGCAAUUGUGGCUUUGUUGAAUGGGUUGAUCACCAGUGGCCCCCAACAAUGCAGAAUGCAUUGUUGAAGCUAUGGGCAAUGGUUGAAGAUGCCAAAACUGCUAGGGUGAAUGACAAUCUUGAAAGUUCUUUCACUAUCCACCAUAUGACAGAAGAGAAGAACAAGCUGGAUGCCAACUAUGACAAGCUAGUCCAAGAUGUGCAUGAGCUGAUGAACUUCCAGGUAGAUAAGGUGGUGGAUUUCAGACAUCUGCAGUCUGCCAUUACAUAUCAGCAGGAGGUAAGAAAAGAACUGAUUGAUGAUAUGAAGGCACAGAUGGCAAGUGAGAUGGCAAAGAAAGAUGAAGAGACCCAGAAACUUACUCUCAAGUAUGAGCUGCUGCUCAACCUGACAAGAGCUCAAGCAACAGUCAUUCAGAACUUGAAGCUGAACAAAAUGAAAGAGAAGCAAGUGCUUACUGAAGCUAGUAUGAAUUUGGAGCUGAAGAAUGCAGAGCUAACAAAGUGUCAGGAGAAGCUCACCCAAGAGAAGCUAGAGUUGAAGCUUGAGGUUGCUGAUCUGCUUAAGGGAAAUGAAAAGCAUAUUGAAGAGAAGUGGCAGUUAGAGUUUCAGAAUGAAAAGUUGAAGGAGAAGUUCAGGGGGAUUCAGGCCAUCUUGGAGAAGUGA